GGAGUUAGCCGGUGCUUCUUCUGUGAGUGAUGUCCUUCCUGCCGGCUAUUAACCCGCAGGCCUUCUUCCUCACUGAAAGUGCUUUACAACCCGAAGGCCUUCUUCACACACGCGGCAUGGCUGGAUCAGGGUUGCCCCCAUUGUCCAAUAUUCCCCACUGCUGCCUCCCGUAGGAGUCUGGGCCGUGUCUCAGUCCCAGUGUGGCUGAUCAUCCUCUCAGACCAGCUACGGAUCGUCGCCUUGGUGAGCCGUUACCUCACCAACCAGCUAAUCCGACAUAGGCUCAUCCGAUAGCGCGAGGCCCGAAGGUCCCCCGCUUUCCCCCGUAGGGCGUAUGCGGUAUUAGCCUGGGUUUCCCCAGGUUAUCCCCCACUACCGGGCAGAUUCCUAUGCAUUACUCACCCGUCCGCCGCUCGCCACCAGGGAGCAAGCUCCCCGUGCUGCCGCUCGACUUGCAUGUGUUAGGCCUGCCGCCAGCGUUCAAUCUGAGCCAGUNACACACUNNANGCGGCGCGNGACGACGC
rnacentral:rRNA from 1 species